rnacentral:rRNA from 1 species
ACGAACGCUGGCGGCGUGCUUAACACAUGCAAGUCGAACGGAAAGGCCCUGCUUUUGUGGGGUGCUCGAGUGGCGAACGGGUGAGUAACACGUGAGUAACCUGCCCUUGACUUUGGGAAAACUUCAGGAAACUGGGGCUAAUACCGGAUAGGAGCUCCUGCUGCAUGGUGGGGGUUGGAAAGUUUCGGCGGUUGGGGAUGGACUCGCGGCUUAUCAGCUUGUUGGUGGGGUAGUGGCUUACCAAGGCUUUGACGGGUAGCCGGCCUGAGAGGGUGACCGGCCACAUUGGGACUGAGAUACGGCCCAGACUCCUACGGGAGGCAGCAGUGGGGAAUAUUGCACAAUGGGCGGAAGCCUGAUGCAGCAACGCCGCGUGCGGGAUGACGGCCUUCGGGUUGUAAACCGCUUUCGCCUGUGACGAAGCGUGAGUGACGGUAAUGGGUAAAGAAGCACCGGCUAACUACGUG